GCCAGCAGCCGCGGUAAUUCCAGCUCCAAUAGCGUAUACUAAAGUUGUUGCGGUUAAAAAGCUCGUAGUUGGAUCUUGGAAUGUGUUCAAGCGGGUCAGCUUCUGGCUGUGCGCUGCUUGACGUGUUCUUCUAUUUGGUUUUGGUGCGGUGCGCUUAACUGCGUGUCGCUCCCGGCCGAAACGUUUACCUUGAAAAAAUUAGAGUGUUCAAAGCAGACCUGUUUGAGUCUGAAUAUUCGUGCAUGGAAUAAUGAAAUAUGAAUUCGGUUCUAUUUUGUUGGUUUUCGGAACUCGAGUUAAUGAUCAAGAGGGACAGACGGGGGCAUUCGUACUCUGCCGUUAGAGGUGAAAUUCUUGGAUCGGCGGAAGACGCGCAACUGCGAAAGCCAUUUGCCAAGAAUGUUUUUCUUUUAAUCAAGAACCGAUAGUCCGGAGGGUUCGAAGACGAUCAGAUCCCGUCCCUAGUUUUCGACUGUAAACUAUGCCCAGCUAAACGAUCAGACAGAGUUCUCUACGACUUGUCUGGCAGUUUCCGGGAAACCAAAGCGUUUGGGUUCCGGGGGAAGUAUGGUUGCAAAGCUGAAACUUAAAGGAAUUGACGGAAGGGCACCACCAGGAGUGGAGCCUGCGGCUUAAUUUGACUCAACACGGGGAAACUCACCCGGCCCGGACACAGUGAGGAUUGACAGAUUGAGAGUUCUUUCUUGAUUCUGUGGGUGGUGGUGCAUGGCCGUUCUUAGUUGGUGGAGCGAUUUGUCUGGUUAAUUCCGAUAACGAACGAGACUCUGGCAUGUUAAAUAGUCGCGGAAGUGCGUAUGCACUUGCCGAAUUGACUUCUUAGAGGGACUAGUGAUUUUAAUUCACACGAGAUUGAGCAAUAACAGGUCUGUGAUGC
rnacentral:rRNA from 1 species